ACGGCUCAGUAACACGUAGAUAAUCUACCCUUGAGUCAGGAAUAAGCACGGGAAACUGUGUCUAACGCUUGAUAUGGGAUUCGACCUGGAAAGGUAUUUCCCUGAAACUCGUGCUCAAGGAUGAGUCUGCGGAUGAUUAGCUUGUUGGUGGGGUAACUGCCUACCAAGGCGAUGAUCAUUACGGGCUCUUAGCGGAGUUGCCCGGAGACGAAAUCUGAGACACUAUUUCGAGCUCUACGGAGUGCAGCAGUCGCGGAACUUUUACAAUGCACGCAAGUGUGAUAAAGCGAACCAAAGUGUUUUUCGUAUAGAAAAACUUUUUCUUAGUGUAAAAACCUAGGAGAAUAAGGACUGGGAAAGACUGGUGCCAGCCGCCGCGGUAAUACCAGCAGUUCAAGUUGCAUCCCUUUUUAUUGGGUCUAAAACAUCCGUAGCUUGCCGUUUAAGUCUCUUGUGAAAUCCUGUGUCUCAAGCACAGGGCUUGCAGGAGAUACUGAACGGCUAGAGAUCGGUAGACGUAAGGAGUACGCCGGAGGUAAUGGUAAAAUAUGUUAAUCUUCGGUGGACUAACAAUGAGCGAAGGCACCUUACGAGGACGAAUCUGACAGUGAGGGAUGAAGGCCAGGGGCGCAAAACGGAUUAGAUACCCGUGUAGUCCUGGCAGUAAACACUGUUCACUAAACAUCGGGCCCUCUUCGGGAGGAUUCGGUGCUGAAGCGAAGGCGAAGAGUGAACUACCUGGGAAGUAUAGUCGCAAGAUCGAAACUUAAAGGAAUUGGCGGGGGAGCAC
rnacentral:rRNA from 1 species